AUUGAACGCUGGCGGCAGGCCUAACACAUGCAAGUCGAACGAGUGGCGGACGGGUGAGUAAUGUCUGGGAAACUGCCUGAUGGAGGGGGAUAACUACUGGAAACGGUAGCUAAUACCGCAUACCAUCAGAUGUGCCCAGAUGGGAUUAGCUUGUUGGUGGGGUAACGGCUCACCAAGGCGACGAUCCCUAGCUGGGCUGAGAGGAUGACCGGCCAGACUGGAAAUGAGAGCCGGGCUGGACUCCUACGGGAGGCAGCGGUGGGUAAUAGUGCACAAUGGGGGCAAGCCGGACGCAGCCAUGCCGCGUGUAUGAAGUAGGCCUUCGGGUUGUAAAGUACUUUCAGCGGGGAGGCGUUACCCGCAGAAGAAGCACCGGCUAACUCCGUGCCAGCAGCCGCGGUAAUUC
rnacentral:rRNA from 1 species